rnacentral:rRNA from 1 species
ACCUCCUUCGGGAGGGGAUUAGUGGCGAACGGGUGAGUAACACGUGGGCAAUCUGCCCUGCACUCUGGGACAAGCCCUGGAAACGGGGUCUAAUACCGGAUACGACACACGGAGGCAUCUCCUGUGUGUGGAAAGCUCCGGCGGUGCAGGAUGAGCCCGCGGCCUAUCAGCUUGUUGGUGAGGUAACGGCUCACCAAGGCGACGACGGGUAGCCGGCCUGAGAGGGCGACCGGCCACACUGGGACUGAGACACGGCCCAGACUCCUACGGGAGGCAGCAGUGGGGAAUAUUGCACAUGGGGCGCAAGCCUGAUGCAGCGACGCCGCGUGAGGGAUGACGGCCUUCGGGUUGUAAACCUCUUUCAGCAGGGAAGAAGCGCAAGUGACGGUACCUGCAGAAGAAGCGCCGGCUAACUACGUGCCAGCAGCCGCGGUAAUACGUAGGGCGCA